rnacentral:rRNA from 1 species
GAUGAAAUUUUAACCGAUCUCUUCGGAGAGACGAUAAAAUGGAUUCAGCGGCGGACGGGUGCAGUAACCCCGUGAGAAACCUGCCUCUUCACAAGGGGAUCAGCCUCGGCGAAACCGGGAUUAAUACCCUAUGACACAUUUCCUUCGCGUGGAAGAAAUGUUAAAACUCCGGUGGUGAAAGAUGGUCUCGCGCCUGAUUAGCUAGUUGGUGGGGUAACGGCCCACCAAGGCCAUGAUCAGUAACCGGCCUGAGAGGGUGAACGGUCACAUUGGAACUGAGACACGGUCCAAACUCCUACGGGAGGCAGCAGUGGGGAAUAUUGCACAAUGGGCGCAAGCCUGAUGCAGCAACGCCGCGUGAACGAUGAAGGUCUUCGGAUCGUAAAGUUCUGUUGCAGGGGAAGAUAAUGACGGUACCCUGUGAGGAAGCCCCGGCUAACUACGUGCCAGCAGCCGCGGUAAUACGUAGGGGGCUAGCGUUAUCCGGAUUUACUGGGCGUAAAGGGUGCGUAGGUGGUCUUUCAAGUCGGUGGUUAAAGGCUACGGCUCAACCGUAGUUAGCCUCCGAAACUGGAAGACUUGAGUGCAGGAGAGGAAAGUGGAAUUCCCAGUGUAGCGGUGAAAUGCGUAGAUAUUGGGAGGAACACCAGUAGCGAAGGCGGCUUUCUGGACUGCAACUGACACUGAGGCACGAAAGCGUGGGUAGCAAACAGGAUUAGAUACCCUGGUAGUCCACGCUGUAAACGAUGAGUACUAGGUGUCGGGGGUUACCCCCCUCGGUGCCGCAGCUAACGCAUUAAGUACUCCGCCUGGGGAGUACGCACG